rnacentral:rRNA from 1 species
UUGUCGGAGAGUUUGAUCCUGGCUCAGGAUAAACGCUGGCGGCGUGCAUGAGACAUGCAAGUCGAACGGACUUCUCGGGCUUGCUCGAGAAGUUAGUGGCGGACGGCUGAGUAACGCGUAGGUGACCUACCCCGAAGUGGGGAAUAACUGCCCGAAAGGGUGGCUAAUACCGCAUACGAUCGGUCAUUCAUUUGAUUGAUCAAAGCAGCAAUGCGCUUUGGGAGGGGCCUGCGUCCGAUUAGCUCGUUGGUGGGGUAAUGGCUCACCAAGGCGACGAUCGGUAGGUGGUCUGAGAGGACGAUCACCCAGACUGGGACUGAGACACGGCCCAGACUCCUACGGGAGGCAGCAGUCGGGAAUUUUGCUCAAUGGGCGAAAGCCUGAAGCAGCAACGCCGCGUGAGGGAUGAAGGCCUUCGGGUUGUAAACCUCUUUUACCAGGGACGAUAAUGACGGUACCUGAUGAAUAAGUCACGGCUAACUACGUGCCAGCAGCCGCG